AACGAACGCUGGCGGCAUGCCUAACACAUGCAAGUCGAACGAGACCUUCGGGUCUAGUGGCGCACGGGUGCGUAACGCGUGGGAACCUGCCCUUAGGUUCGGAAUAACUCCCCGAAUGGGGUGCUAAUACCGGAUCAUGUCUUCGGACCAAAGAUUUAUCGCCUUUGGAUGUGCCCGCGUUGGAUUAGCUAGUUGGUAGGGUAAAAGCCUACCAAGGCGACGAUCCAUAGCUUGUCUGAGAGGAUGAUCAGCCACACUGGGACUGAGACACGGCCCAGACUCCUACGGGAGGGAGCAGUGGGGAAUAGUGGACAAUGGGCGAAGGCAUGAUGCAGCAAUGCCGGGUGAAUGAUGAAGGUAGUAGGGUUGUAAAGCGCUUUUACCCGGGAUGAUAAUGACAGUACCGGGAGAAUAAGCCCCGGCUAACUCCGUG
rnacentral:rRNA from 1 species